AUGGAUACUAAAACUAGUAGUAGUUAUUUUGUUUCAAGGUUUUUGUUUAGACUACUUGUAGUGGUGGGGUUUGUUUGUUUUAUGUUUUUUGGUAGCUUAGUGAGUGGUGGAAGAACACUACAAACAACAACAAGUACUACAAAACAUGAUGAUGAACAAGUUGUUGUUGUUGGUAACCAUGAUGCACAAUUGGAUUUCAAUUAUAUGAGUAAAAGAAGAGUUCCCAAUGGACCAGAUCCUAUUCACAACAGGAGAGCUGGAAAUUCUGGUAGACCACCUGGUCAAAGUUAG